UUCCAAGUUCUUGUUUGGCUGCUUCGCUCUUUGAAACUUGUUGAAAAUACGUAAAAAAUAUUCUAUCUGAAAAAUUUAUAUUUACGACUAUUUCUUUUUCUGUGGUUUUCUUGAGCAAGCGGACCUUCCUGAAGAGCUGCUAAAGGAUUUCUCUUCAUCACUGAAGUGGAGCCCAGCAACUAGUAUAUCUGAUAAACUGCAAGACACAGAUUUAGGAUUCUCGAAGCUACUGUCAGCAUAGACACAGCCUCGGUUUUUCCAUCUGCAAAAUGCCAAUAAUUACGCCUGCUGCUGCCAGAAUGAUCUUGAAGAAUAAUGAGAAAAUGCCUCUAAGAACACUUAGAGUAACUCAGAAUAAACCUGUCAGAGAAAUGCCAAGAAUUAUUACCCUGCUAUUUUUGUAAGUGUGUGUGGUUUUUGCUGCUUUCCUAACAUAGCAAAGAAAAAGUAUAACUCCUAGAUUAAAAUAAUCCCUAUCAAAAAAAAAAAAAAAAGGGAGAAAAGGAAAAGUCCUACCCACCACAAA